rnacentral:lncRNA from 1 species
CAGAUCCUGAAACUUUCCUGGGGAAGGUCAGCCUCAGAUACUGACAAGACACCAAGGGACUGCAGCUGCUUACUAUGGAAAGAGCAUGACCCUAUGAAGAAAGGAGAUGAAGAGAAAAAGUCAUAAGAUCAGCAAGAAGAGAAACUGUAGAUUUGCCUCAACUCAACAUGUUAAGUAAUCGCCUGACAUCUACAUAAGACCACCUCUUGGCACCUGGCUACACAAGCUGAAAUGGGUGAAUGGUUAAACAAAUUGUGGUACAUUCCUACAAUGAAAUACUACUCAGCAAUAAGAAGGAAUAGACUGUUGAUACGUUCAACAAGUUGGGUGAAUCUCAAAGACACUAUGCUGAGUAAAAGAAGCCAUCUCAAAAGGGCUGCAUACCAAAAGGAACAAAAGCACAAAACAAACAAACAAACAAACAAACAAGCAAAUGAUGGUGGAAACUAUUUUCAAAACUUCCCUGUUCUGGUAAAGACGUUUUCAGAGCUCAAACUAGUCCUGCUGAAAAUAUUUUUUAAAAUAUGAAAGCAUAGCGGAAAAUUUGUAUGAAAAAGAAAAAAGAAAAAGAAGGAGGAGGAAGAAGAAGAAGAAAGAAGAAAAAGGAGAGGAAGAAGAAGAAGGAGGAGGAGGAGAAGAAGAGGAGGAGGAGGAGGAGGAAAUGGCAGAGACAAUGUAUGUCCCAGAAAGCCUAAAAUGUGUACUGUUUGUCCGUUUAUAGAAAAAGUGUGCCAGUCCCUACUCUGUUCCCAAUUUUAAAAACAAAUAAAUAAAAAGAAAAACAAGCAAGUCUCUCAGCCAAGAAAGAAUCGAUGGGAACUUUUUCAACUUUAUAAAGUGGAUCUACAAAAAACUACAACUAACACUAACGUCACACCUAAUGGUGAAAGUCUGAAUGUUUUCCCUCUAAGACUAGGAAAAGGUGGCAUGGAUGUCCACUCUCCCUACUCUAUUCAGCAUUGUAUCAAAAGUUCUUAUCAGUGAAAUAAGACAAGAAAACAAUAAAUGGCAUCCAUAUUGGAAAA